GGUGGGUGCAAGUUGGUUACGAUUCCUCCCCCAUUCAACCCAAAUUGGACUUGAACCAGAAACACUGGUCCGGUCCAUCAGAACCUUGUAUUUUUUCUUCAAAAGAAUUCAAAAAAUUGUUUCAAUCAUUGGAUUGCCUCAACCUGGAUCUUAAUGGAACCAAAAUCAAAACUACUCUCGAACUGGCCUGAAACUAUGGGGAAUUGGCUUCCCUUGGUCCAGUUUAGGUGCCCCCCCCCC
rnacentral:misc_RNA from 1 species